GAUGGUCCAUCCCUAUCGGCAUAUUGUUAUAAUUUCUAUAUCAGCGUGCUGCGUUUUCCGCUUAAAUGGAAUUCGUUUUAUCUUUAAUUUUGCUGAUCUUGGCAACCAACCAUGAUGCUAAAGCAGCUAGGUUGAACCACCCACGUGUGCUGCUGCCAAUAUUUGAAGAGAAGGCCAUUAACUUCACCCUGGAAGUGGACGAGUCUAAUUGCUACAAAUGGUCGUCCUCGCGCCAAGAUUUAAUAUCAGUCAUGCCUAUCUAUAAGGGCUUCAGCGAAUGUGCUUACCAGGCGGUAGUCACAGUGCGCACACACGAACGGCGCCGAAACACGGCUAUUGUCUUCGCCGAGGAGGCUCACACUGGUGAGACCCUGCGCUGCGACGUGAUCGUGGAUGCCAUCGCCAGCUUGAAUGUACGCACUGCAACGCGACAGCUUUACCUUGAAGAGGCGCCAGCCAUGUUCGAGCUGCACGCCUUUGAUGAGCAAGGUAACGAGUUCUUCACCUUGGAGGGCAUUGAGUUUGAAUGGGAGAUUUCUAAGCCCGGCAACAAUAAGCCCGCCGCUAUGCGCUACCUCACCUUCACGGAUAGCCACUACCACACCGUUCCGGCGGCCCUUGAAAAGUUUGAGGCGGAGGGCACUAAGGGAUACAUGAUCCUUCUCGAGGGUAUCAACACGGGCACAUCCAAGGUGACAAUCAGUAUGCCCCAGGCCGAGUACAGGCACGUGCGGCCUAUCGAAGUUUACAUCAGUGUCUUGGCCAACAUUAUUAUAAAGCCUUCCGAAGUCACCAUCCUGGCGGGCGAUACCGUCUCAUUCCGCAUUCUGCAGCUGAAAAUGGACCGAAUGCACGCCAUAGACAGCAAGCAAUACUACCUGGAGGUGGAGGACGUCAACGUUGCCAAACUGCAUGGCAACAGUGCCACUGGAUUGACUCUGGGCCGCACCCAGGUCUUUCUACGGGAUCGUAACAUGGCAGACUCCGAACAGACCACCAAGGGGCCCAGCGCAUUAUUGACCGUGGCAGAGCCUCACAGAUUGGGCAUUAGCCUGCUUCCCCACCUUAACUGGGCCACGGUGCAAGGCGAGCAUCACGAGGUGGCCUUGGACUUAUUUGCCGCUGACGGGCAGAAGAUAACGCUUGGCAGCCGGUAUUCCAUCAGCUCAGAGGUGGACGAGACCCUGUUCGCUAUCGACCACCGAACCCGAAACGGGAGUCGCCUUUUCGGUAAGGCGAAACAACAGGGCAUCACUCAGGUGUACGGCUCAUACAAAGACCUGUCGGUACAAGCUGAACUUCAGAUAUUUGAGGAGCUUCAGCUGAUGCCAAUCAAGGUGGUCCUGCCUUUCGAUCAAAACAGCGUAAAACCGCUAAAGCUGCAGUUUCAUGCUUCUGGCGGCGACUACAACUACGCCUGGUUCUCCGGAAACCCGCAGGUCCUCCAAAUAGAUGCCCAUGGGUUGGCCACAACUGAAAUCCGAGACGUACGGCCCGCCUUAGUUCCCCAAGAGCUUCUUGAGGAUGGAAGUUCACUAGCCGCUCACACCACUGUCAAGGUGGCGCUGACCAAGAACCAGAAAAUCUCCUGUCUCUCACAGAUCUACUUCCUACCCCCCAACAGACUCCAGAUUAAACACAGCAACUUUGAGACAUCCUUAAAGGACUAUGUCCUCGUACACGUGGCUGUCUACGCCCGAAUUAACAAUUCAGACGUCCCCUACACGAUUUGCGACAAUCUCCAUUUCCAGCUUGAUUUCAGCCAUCCGAUUCUACAGCUGGAGAGUAACGAGGAGGCAGAGGAGCCGGUCAAUGAGGCGUGUCAUGUGCUACGGCUGCGGGCCACCGCUGUAGGCAGCACUUCGCUACGCGUCUCUUACAUUUUUCAGGACAAAGUCCUUCACGACAGCGUUGACAUCUACGUUUUUGAGCCGUUGGGCGUGCUUAAUCCGCUGGAUAACGAGGUUGUGCUCCCCGUGGGGUCAUCCCGCAAUGUUAUCUACUCUCAAGGACCACAGCGUAUUUUUACCCUGGCGGCGGAGCUCACCAAGUCCACAGCUUUCGAUGGCGAGAUAAUCAAGGUGUCCGAGAUAGAGUUCGACACACAAAAUGCCAUCACCGCGUUCACCGUGCUGUGCCGCAAGCUUGGCGAGACCGUGUUCACUUAUAGAGUGCAUAAUAGACUUUCUACGCCAAGCUUCGCCGUCUACCGAUCAGAGGUGACCACCAAGGUGCAUUGCGUGCGCCCCCGUUUCUUGAAGCUUUACGCUCGCCACAAUCUGCGUGAGUCUUGCCCCCUGGAACAGCGCUCCUCGCUACUGUUCCUGAAAGAUCGCGAGAACAAGUUUGAGAUCGAGAUAGAGGUCCAGGAUUCAAAUAAUCGGCGGCUUAUGAAUGUGAGCUCUCUUCGGCUGGAAUGGGAGUUUGCCGCGGGGAACGAGCGCUACCACGAGGACACCAUUCCACACCGUCAUAUCAAUGAAGUGGAGGUUAUUCACGGAGUUAAUUUGCCAAACCGUGAUAUUCUCGUCCUGACUUUGAGCGAGGUGGCGCCUAACUUUCGCAUUAAAGGCACUGUGUCACACUACAACGAUAAGCUGCUCGCUCUGCAAGAUAUUUACGCUGAACGUCCUCCUUUCGGUGUCGAAAAUCCUAAAACGGGGUUGGUUAGCACGCCUCUGAUCGAAAACGAGAUACGAUUUCACACGGUAAACAGCACUCUGUUGCCAAAAGACCACAUCAGCAUCUUUCUUGCUUCGGGCCACAGCGAAUACCUACCCAUCACCCAGGGCAGCGGUUACUUGCAGUUCGAGCUGUCCGAAGCGGGCAUCGUGCACGUCGAAUACGAUGAGAAGGCCCGUUUACUAGUUCUGACGCCGCUGCGUUUCGGCCACGUGCGUCUCGAGCUGACCGAUCGCUGUUUAACCAACGAACCCAGUCAUUUGUCCAUCUCCGUUGUGGGAAUUGGGGCCAUUGCAGUAAUUGGCAUGGACCGGCUGGAACGCACUAAUCGCAUCGAGGCGAUCGUCCGGCUUUUUGACACCAACGACAACCUUUUGCUCGUGGACCGCAGCAGAUUGAGUGUGUACGAUCUAUCUGAGGUUGUCUUGGACCAAAGCGUGUUGAGCGUGCGCCUAGGGGAGCAGAAUAACUUGCGACCGGGGGAGAUCCGCUACACUAUCACGGGAAACAACGUCGGCGAGACCAAGAUCGUUUUUCAGUCCGGGAAGGGCACCCUGCAAGUGGCAAGCGAGCCGUUUAACAUUCAAGUUUUUGCUCCUAUUCGACUCUACCCCCGCGACUCUACUCUCGUGGUGGGUAGCAGCAAACAGAUCUACUACCAGGGCGGACCGCAGCCAAGCACCAAUAUGGUGUACACAGUAGAAAAGGAGAAAGUAGCAAUUAUGAGGUCUUCUAUUGUUACGGCCCACAGCCUGGGAACCACUAAGAUUGUAGGCAAGUUCCUGCUUAAAAAUCCUAUAACCGGAAAGGACGAGGUGGUCUCCCAAGACUCGGUGGAACUACACGUGGUUGCCCUCAAGGGAGUGCAGAUUCGGACGCCACUGGUCCGCAUUCGUAGCGGCGCCGUGAUGCCCGCCACCUUGUGGGGGCAUAAUGAUUUGUCGCCCAUGAUUUUGGGUACCCUCCAAAACACCAAAAUCUCCUGGAAAGCCAGCCAGUCGCAGGUGGUUGAGAUAUUUAACGUCUUUGCGGCUGCGGGAAUUGAAUACCAAAGUGAAGACUUAAUAUCGGUCCGAGUUCGAGCCCUUAAUCCCGGAAAGGUUACAAUCUCAGCAACCAUUAGUUUGGCGGACGGAACAACGCUGCCACCAGCCACGGUGGAGCUAAUUGUUUUUAAAACACUGGAGCUGGUGGCACCAAAGCCAAUUAAAAUGGAUUCCAUUCUGGCAGCGCCACGAAGCACGCUUCAGCUUAAGUCUAAUAUGGACGAUCCGGUUUAUAAGCUGGACGGCCAGAGUAGUGGCAUUAUCAACGUAUCGCCGGAUGGACUUGUGCACACAAAGGACCUUCUCGGCCGAGAUAUGAUAAUUGCUAAAACUGCCGACCAAACGAUGCCCAUUGGAAUCGAAGUGAAAAAUGUACAAUACAUUUUGGUGACUCUGAUGCCAAACCUUAAAUUUAGGAAGACCGAACACAAGGUUCCCCGGGGUAUGAACUUUUUGUUAAAGGUAUCGCUUCACGACAAUCUGGGCAACGAGUUUUCACAUAAUAUUGAACCUGCAAAUGGACUGCGGUAUGAACUGGCCACCAAGGAUGUGGUCGAUGUCCAGAUAGAUAAUAAUCUGACAAUUUCGCUAAACCUGCAGCGGGAGACCAACAAUGUAAUCGCCAUCAGUCUUAAAGACCCAACGGGAGUCAAGUAUUCCGAGGACUACAUCAAGCUGUCAGUGGUCGAGUCAGAGAACAUCUUUCCCACCAAGACCAUUUUCUCGGUUGGCGAUAUUAUUUGCUUCGAAUCACCACUAACUUUGUCAUCGAUUUGGAGCAGCUCGGACGAGCAUAUUAUUUCGAUUAAUAAACAUACAGGUAUUGCCCGGGUGCUGCAUCAUCGGCACAAACUGGGCGAUAAGAUUGUGAUUACUAACGGCGACGAAGAAAAGCAGGGCGGAUUCAUUAAGUACGACCUGGAAGUUCGCGAGUCGGAUGCGAUUGUGUUUGCCAAGUCAUUGGACAUAUUCAGCGGACCGGAGUAUCGGGCACAACUAGUUCUCCGAAACCACGUGCAGUCCGAAAAGUACAGCAACCUCAUUGCAAAAAACGUUUCAAAGUGCGCUGGGCAGCUGGAGAGUCUGCCAGUGGAUGUUUUUAACUGUCGGCUGGCGGCCAAGGAGGCGCUCGGUCGCCAAUUAAUAAAGUUAUACAAAGUUGAGGCCUUGUUCGAUGCUAGCGUCGGCCAGUAUUCCUGUCGACUGGAGCUGCUCUCUAGUUUUAUUGAGUUACUGGCCAUUGUCAAGACGAACGACGUCUAUUUGGAACUUGAGGUGGUGAUGGGCAACGGCUUUUUGGAUAAGAUGUCUUUGAAAUUAGUUCCGGGUAUCAAGGUGAUUCCUGAAUCAGUGCGAGUGACCGACAUGAAGGCCCAAGAGAUUCAUAUUAGUGGACUGGACAAGGCGUUGCAUAGAGUACAGGUUAAACCCUCCAAUUCAAAAUUCAUUGCUGUGGACUUUAUUGAGCACGGUCAUGGCUUAAGUAAAUAUCGUUUGCGAUUCUUCGAGGACUUUCCGCUGGAUGAGCAGUUCUACGUUCUAGUAAUAUCACCGGAGACAGAGCAGAGCAUCGAGAUACCCAUUGUCGGCAGUACAAUGCUAGCUCAAAAAUGCGGCGGCCGCCCGUAUGGCGGACCUCUGGUUUAUCGCGUGUUGGAAAAUCUCGGCUUUGUGCUUACCACUACGGUGAUUGUAAUUAUUUCUAUAUGGGUGUACAUGUCUUGCUUCCAAACUCAGGACGUCACGCAAGUCAACUCAGAAGUAUUCCAAAAAAACAAGUUAAUGUCACCCCGAAACGGUUCUCCUAGAUCGAUGCAUCAGGACGAUACUUUAGCUGAUUCCUUCAACUCGCGAAAAUAUUCUCCAGGUCGACGAAGCCAGCACUCGGAUUCAUUAUCGGAGGCCUAUGUUUACGGACACCCACGGCUAAACUCCCCGAAUAGAUCAGGCAACUCAAACCGCUUUAAUUGAUUGUUUUACGAUUACUUAAUUUUAAGACUGUCUCCAAACCGAUGCGGGACCUUUGUAAAAUAUAAAAGAUUAACUCAGGGUGUAAAUAUAUAAGAUAACUGUUAGGAGUAAGUAUGCAACUGUAAUAUACAUAAGCUCAAUCCCAACCCAGCUCAUGGAUCAACAUAAAAGCGAACCCCCUGGCAUCUUCUUUAUAUCAUUAAUGUUUUACAUUUUUAUAAAUAAAGAUUUAAUAAAUGCAAA